rnacentral:rRNA from 1 species
GAUGAACGCUGGCGGCGUGCCUAAUACAUGCAAGUCGAGCGAACAGACGAGGAGCUUGCUCCUCUGACGUUAGCGGCGGACGGGUGAGUAACACGUGGAUAACCUACCUAUAAGACUGGGAUAACUUCGGGAAACCGGAGCUAAUACCGGAUAAUAUAUUGAACCGCAUGGUUCAAUAGUGAAAGACGGUUUUGCUGUCACUUAUAGAUGGAUCCGCGCCGCAUUAGCUAGUUGGUAAGGUAACGGCUUACCAAGGCAACGAUGCGUAGCCGACCUGAGAGGACGAUCGGCCACACUGGAACUGAGACACGGUCCAGACUCCUACGGGAGGCAGCAGUAGGGAAUCUUCCGCAAUGGGCGAAAGCCUGACGGAGCAACGCCGCGUGAGUGAUGAAGGUCUUCGGAUCGUAAAACUCUGUUAUUAGGGAAGAACAAAUGUGUAAGUAAAUAUGCACGUCUUGACGGUACCUAAUCAGAAAGCCACGGCUAACUACGUG